GGUCAAGCGAAUAAGCGCACACGGUGGAUGCCUUGGCGGUCAGAGGCGAUGAAGGACGUGGCAGCCUGCGAAAAGUAUCGGGGAGCUGGCAACAAGCUUUGAUCCGGUAAUGUCCGAAUGGGGAAACCCACCCGCUUGCGGGUAUCCUGCAGUGAAUACAUAGCUGCUGGAAGCGAACCUGGUGAACUGAAAUAUCUAAGUAACCAGAGGAAAAGAAAUCAACCGAGAUUCCGUAAGUAGCGACGAGCGAACGCGGACUAGCCCUUAAGCUGGAUUGGUUCUAGGAAAACGCUCUGGAAAGAGCGGCCAUAGAAGGUGAUAGCCCUGUAUCUGAAAGGGCCAUUCCAGUGAAGACGAGUAGGGCGGGGCACGUGAAACCCUGUCUGAACAUGGGGGGACCAUCCUCCAAGGCUAAAUACUACUGACCGACCGAUAGUGAACCAGUACCGUGAGGGAAAGGCGAAAAGAACCCCGGAGAGGGGAGUGAAAUAGAACCUGAAACCGUGUGCGUACAAGCAGUAGGAGCUCCGCAAGGAGUGACUGCGUACCUUUUGUAUAAUGGGUCAGCGACUUACUGUUCGUGGCAAGCUUAACCGUAUAGGGGAGGCGAAGGGAAACCGAGUCUGAUAAGGGCGCAUAGUCGCGGGCAGUAGACCCGAAACCGGGUGAUCUAGUCAUGCCCAGGGUGAAGGUGCGGUAACACGCACUGGAGGCCCGAACCCACUCCCGUUGCAAAGGUAGGGGAUGAGGUGUGAUUAGGAGUGAAAAGCUAAUCGAACCCGGAGAUAGCUGGUUCUCCUCGAAAGCUAUUUAGGUAGCGCCUCAUAUGUAUCCUCUCGGGGGUAGAGCACUGUUAUGGCUAGGGGGUCAUCGCGACUUACCAAACCAUUGCAAACUCCGAAUACCGAGACGGACUGUAUGGGAGACACACGGCGGGUGCUAACGUCCGUCGUGAAAAGGGAAACAACCCAGACCCACAGCUAAGGUCCCAAAUUNNNNNNNNNNNNNNNNNNNNNNNNNNNNNNNNNNNNNNGAACCGAAGCUUGGGGUGCAUACUUUGUAUGCGCGGUAGAGGAGCGUUCCGUAAGCCGUUGAAGGUGGAUUGAGAAGUCUGCUGGAGGUAUCGGAAGUGCGAAUGCUGACAUGAGUAACGAUAAUGCGGGUGAAAAACCCGCACGCCGAAAGCCCAAGGUUUCCUUGCGCAACGUUAAUCGGCGCAGGGUGAGUCGGCCCCUAAGGCGAGGACGAAAGUCGUAGUCGAUGGGAAGCAGGUUAAUAUUCCUGCACCUCGCGUAAGUGCGAUGGAGGGACGGAGAAGGUUAGGUGUACCAGGCGUUGGUUGUCCUGGGGAAAGGCGGUAGGUUUGGAUCUUUGGCAAAUCCGGGAUCCUCUAAGACCGAGCACCGAGACGAGCCUUUAUGGCGAAGUCACUGAUACCACGCUUCCAGGAAAAGCUCCUAAGCUUCAGCUUACGCAGACCGUACCGUAAACCGACACAGGUGGGUAGGAUGAGAAUUCUCAGGCGCUUGAGAGAACUCGGGUGAAGGAACUAGGCAACAUGGCACCGUAACUUCGGGAGAAGGUGCACCCUUUUUGGUGGCUCGUGCGAGCUAUAGCUGAAGAGGGUCGCAGUAACCAGGCCGCUGCGACUGUUUAUCAAAAACACAGCACUCUGCAAACACGAAAGUGGACGUAUAGGGUGUGACGCCUGCCCGGUGCUGGAAGGUUAAUUGAUGGGGUCAGCCGCAAGGCGAAGCUCUUGAUCGAAGCCCCAGUAAACGGCGGCCGUAACUAUAACGGUCCUAAGGUAGCGAAAUUCCUUGUCGGGUAAGUUCCGACCUGCACGAAUGGCGUAACGACAGCGGCGCUGUCUCCACCCGAGACUCAGUGAAAUUGAAAUCGCUGUGAAGAUGCAGCGUUCCCGUGGCAAGACGGAAAGACCCCGUGAACCUUUACUAUAGCUUUACACUGAACGUUGAGUUCGUCUGUGUAGGAUAGGUGGGAGGCUAUGAAACUGUGGCGCUAGCUGCAGUGGAGCCAUCCUUGAAAUACCACCCUGUCGUGCUUGACGUUCUAACCUGGGCCCAUUAUCUGGGUCGGGGACCGUGUAUGGUGGGUAGUUUGACUGGGGCGGUCUCCUCCUAAAGAGUAACGGAGGAGCUCGAAGGUACGCUCAGCGCGGUCGGACAUCGCGCACUGUGUGCAAAGGCAUAAGCGUGCUUGACUGCAAGAUCGACGGAUCAAGCAGGUAGGAAACUAGGACUUAGUGAUCCGGUGGUUCUGUAUGGAAGGGCCAUCGCUCAACGGAUAAAAGGUACUCCGGGGAUAACAGGCUGAUACCGCCCAAGAGUUCAUAUCGACGGCGGUGUUUGGCACCUCGAUGUCGGCUCAUCACAUCCUGGGGCUGUAGUCGGUCCCAAGGGUAUGGCUGUUCGCCAUUUAAAGUGGUACGCGAGCUGGGUUCAGAACGUCGUGAGACAGUUCGGUCCCUAUCUGCCAUGGGCGUUGGAGAUUUGAGAGGGGCUGCUCCUAGUACGAGAGGACCGGAGUGGACGAACCUCUGGUGUUCCGGUUGUCACGCCAGUGGCAUUGCCGGGUAGCUAUGUUCGGAAGCGAUAACCGCUGAAAGCAUCUAAGCGGGAAGCGCGCCUCAAGAUGAGAUCUCCCGGGGCACAAGCCCCCUGAAGGAACCAUGUAGACUACGUGGUUGAUAGGUCAGGUGUGUAAGUACAGCAAUGUAUUGAGCUAACUGAUACUAAUGAUCCGUGCGGCUUGACCAU
rnacentral:rRNA from 1 species